ensembl:lncRNA
UCCAAGACCUUGUUCAAUAGCUUUUUUUUCCUCCUUAAGAGAAAAGAUGUCUUAAGAUGUCUUAGGAGAGGUUAAUUCAUUACCCUGUGGGGGUUGGUCUGUCCAGAAUUUGAAGUAAGGAGCAAAUUUAUUUUCAUCUGCUUUUCUUCCACAUUGUCCCUCCUGUUGGAAAUUCUAUCCCAAUCUUCAUUUUGAAAUGUGUUCCUAGAAUAUUUAAUACCUUUCUCUUAGCUUAUAACUUAUGCCUUCAACCUAGAACUAGAACAUACCAUAAUCUCCUGGAGGACAAGGACUGGAGGAUUAAUCCAUUCCUCCUGGAGGUACAUGAAAAUGAAAGCACCCUUAAAUGAGGACUCACUCAGUUGAAUAAUGUAUUCCUGUUUUCAUGCUUAUGAGGGAGGCAUGCCUAGGGAUUGGCCAUAAUUCAGUCAAUUAUAGGCAUCACACAUUUCAUAUCAGAGGGGAUUAGUGUGAAACUGAGGGGUGGGCAGAAGAGGGAGAAGUCACUGGUCAUUUUGAAGUACUUCCAUCCCUGGUCUGGGCAAUUACCUGUUUCUUUCUGAUUGCGCCCAGUAUAUCCUGGGCAUUUUGUGUUGACGCGCAGGAGCUGUAUGUGCCAAGUUUCAUUGUACACCAUUUCUUCCUGUACACCUACUCCGUUCUCAGUUUGCCAUCACCCGUGCUACAAGUCAAAGCCACCCUAGUCACCUGCUUCCUGUCUCCUUACUCCUUACAUCCUGUCUCCUGCUAGUUCCUGUCAGUUCUACCUCAGCAGUCUUUCACAUCCUUCCUCCUCACUUCCUUUCAGUGGCCUCUCAGCUUUCUUUACCUCUUUCUACUUCCAGUCUACUUUCUACACAAUGUUAGAUUCAUCUUACUGAAACCUAGCUCUGACCAUGUAUCCCAUGUACGUGUUCUGUCUUCCCUGCUAGACUGUAAGCUCCUUAUGGGCAGGAUCUGUGUUUCAGUCAUCUUUGUAUCCCAUAGCACCUAUCAAUAAAUAUAUCUUGAAUGAACAGCAUAAAGCCUUGUCUUAAGUGAAAUGAUGUUUUCCAGAUGAUACGUAGGUUUCUCUCGGGUAAUUGCAAGAUUUCAAAAGUGCUCCUAAUAUCAAGUUGGUUAAGUAGUAACAACUAUGAAUUAACCACAGGGAAAAUUUCAGAAAACUUUUAAUUUUUUUCCGUUGGAAUCAGCAUGGAUGUGUGUAUAUGGAUGGUUCAAUAAAUAUAUUUUUAUAUAUACAUG